rnacentral:lncRNA from 1 species
AAGAAUUGACCAAGUUGUUGAAGUUGUGGUUGUUGACCUGGAAUCAAAAUUGUUUAAAUUUAUCUCGUUAUUUAAACAGCAGUUUGGCAAAGUCGAUAUUCUAUAUCGAUAAAGUUACGUUAACCUCUUCGAUAUAAGCGUCAAUUUUAAUCGAUAGUUACCAAAUGAGUAUAAGUAUGUACAGCAUUAUCAUAGUUAUAUUAAUAAUAUAAUUUUUUAUUUUUUGAUUAAUUUUUCUAAGUUACUUCUUUUAUUUAUUAGAAAGAAAUUUUAUAUGUUAUAAUACGUUUAUUAUAAAAAAAAUGUUUAAUAUGAAAACGUUACACUUGCUCGGUCGUUAAAUAAUUCACACUAUGCAACAAGUGUCAUAAAAGAGUUUAUAACGAUAGUACAUUUUGAAUGUGAAACAUACCUGUUUGAUAUUGUUCUGGCAUCUUUUGAGGAAAGCUGUUUAAAAGAUCGUAAAGUUGAGUUGCUGAAAGCGGAGGGCCUGCAGGAGCCGGAUGACCAACAUGUAGAUCAGGUAUUUGUUGAUUUAUAAUAUACGGAGUCUGACCAGCUGUACCAGGGAAACCAACGUGCAAUGAACUAUGAAGAUUAGUUUGCAUCGGUAGGUUGGGCUGUCCGAGUUGAAUGUUUGUUCCGAUGAGGCCUAUAUUCGACGCUGGAUGAUUAUUUAAAUAAACAUCAUUUGUUUGUAAGUCAGGAUUCACCAAUGUUGAAAGAGUUGCAAAAUCUGGAGGCAAGAAUGUCGGUAAAACGGUCUGAUAUUCUUUUUGACUAAUAUCAUUGCUUUCAGUUACUUCGUAAUUAUGCGCUGGAGUGGGACUCGUUACAGUUUUCUGCGGUGUUAAACUCGUGCUAAUAGUAGCAAGAUCAAAAUUUGAAUCUAACCAUGUGGAUUGAUUUUGUAAGCAGCAUCAGUUGUUUGUUGACGUGAAUUUUCUUCUAUAUUCGCUUCAUUAUUGAAAGGCUUAUCCAUGGGACUCAGAUUAGGCGCAGGAAUCGUAUGAAUUGGUCCCUUGUCAUCAUCGACACCACCUCUAUGAGUUGGUGGCAAAACAGCAGCUUCCGGUCUGUAUUCAGGACUAUAUUCCGGCAUUUUAUUUACGAUGGCACAUUGAACAUCGGAGGUCGACGAAUUCUGGAAUAAGGGAUAGAUCGAGAAAAUGUCACGUUCGAUGAAAAAUGAUUUUUUUCUAUAUAUUCUCAAAGAUUCACCUAUAAUUCGACGGUUUGUGAGUUAUUCGUUUCAAUGGGAAAUUUCCAUUGAUAUGCAUUGUAUUUCCCAUCGAAAUUCUAUGAGUAAUUGGCCAUGAUUUCUUGAACAUCAGUUUAGGAGGCUGUGGGGGAGGCAAUGGGGGUCUUCUAAUCUUGUAUCUAGCUUCAACAAGGCAGAUACACGCGAUCAAUAGCCAACACAUCCAAUUUGUCGUCUGAAAUU